GAUUGGACUUAGUGGUAGAGUAGUUGCCUAGCAAGCAGGAGGCCCUGGGUUGGAUCCCCAGCACUGGACA
rnacentral:tRNA from 1 species